CCUACGGGUGGCAGCAGUGGGGGAUAUUGCACAAUGGGGGGAACCCUGAUGCAGCGACGCCGCGUGGGUGAAGAAGUAUUUCGGCAUGUAAAGCCCUAUCAGCAGGGAAGAAGAUGACGGUAUCUCACCAAGAAGCCCCGGCUCACUAUGUGCCAGCAGCCGCGGUAAUACGUAGGGGGCAAGCGUUAUCCGGAUGUACUGGGUGUAAAGGGUGCGCAGACGGCAAUGCAAGUCAGGAGUGAAAGACCGGGGCUUAACCCCGGCACUGCUCGGGAAACUGUGCAGCUGGAGUGCAGGAGAGGUAGGUGGAAUUCCUAGUGUAGCGGUGAAAUGCGUAGAUAUUAGGAGGAACACCAGUGGCGAAGGCGGCUUGCUGGACUGUAACUGACGUUGAGGCUCGAAAGCGUGGGGAGCAAACAGGAUUAGAUACCCGUGUAGUC
rnacentral:rRNA from 1 species